GACGAACGCUGGCAGCGUGCCUAAUACAUGCAAGUCGAGCGGACAGAAGGGAGCUUGCUCCCGGAAGUUAGCGGCGGACGGGUGAGUAACACGUGGGCAACCUACCCUGUAGAUCGGGAUAACAUCGAGAAAUCGGUGCUAAUACCGGAUAAUCAUUUGAAGUGCAUGCUUCGAAUGUAAAAGAUGGCUCCGGCUAUCACUACGGGAUGGGCCCGCGGCGCAUUAGCUAGUUGGUAAGGUAAUGGCUUACCAAGGCAACGAUGCGUAGCCGACCUGGGAGGGUGAUCGGCCACACUGGGACUGAGACACGGCCCAGACUCCUACGGGAGGCAGCAGUAGGGAAUCUUCCGCAAUGGACGAAAGUCUGACGGAGCAACGCCGCGUGAGUGAUGAAGGUUUUCGGAUCGUAAAGCUCUGUUGUUAGGGAAGAACAAGUGCCGUUUGAAUAAGGCGGCACCUUGACGGUACCUAACCAGAAAGCCACGGCUAACUACGUGCCAGCCGCCGCGGUAACAC
rnacentral:rRNA from 1 species